rnacentral:sRNA from 1 species
GCGGAUGCCUUCGGGGUCCGCCGUGAGAGCGUCGGUUCCGAUGCUUCUUCAUGCCCAUGUUGCUUGAACUUCUGAGGAUAUGGCUAUGAGGA